AAAAAGAAUUGACAAUAUUAUUACUGAUUGUCUUAGCAAGCUAGAUGGAUAGAGGUAAAUAACCUCUAAAAAAAGUUAGUGAAUGAAAUACUGUUCAUAAAAAGCCCAAUAAAUGGAACACUUUCAAAUCAAUAAAUCCUAAUCAAGAUUUGUGACAAUACAUUCUCAAGUGUAAUGCCCAAUUAUUGCCCGGGCCCAUUUGAAUGAAUAAAACCAAUAUAAAAAACCAAAUACUAAAGCCUAAAUAUAAAAUAAAACAAUAAACUGUCCAUUUUUACAUGUUUGUGGCCCAAUUUCACCAGCCCAAUUACCCUAAAACCCAAAUCAGCCAAAAACUGAAAAAUCAGAAAACCCUAGAAUCUUCACCUGCUGCCUCCAGCUUCCCACGAGCGUCGCCCCCUCCAUACGUUCUCCUCCACGCACGAACGUACAGCAGCCCCGCACAACGCACGUCUUCCACGUACCUGCAACGAACCACAAAGAGAGGCACGAUAGAAUAACAGAAGGAAAUAGAAUAAUGGAAGGGCAGAGAAAAUAUAGAUGAUUAUUUAUUUAUUUAUUUAUUUUUUGACUAGGCUAUAUAAGGCCGAUUCCAAAUCUGUAAUGGUGGGGAAGAGACGAAAAAGGGAUAAAAAAACACUGAUUUGAUACAAAAAAAAUACAAGAGAAUAAAGAUAGUAGUUUAUUAAAGGUGAUUUUCUUCAACGAUUUUCCCUUCUGUUCUUGAUUCAUUUUUUGUUUAUUCAUUGUAUAUAAAAAAGAACAGUGAAAAGAGGAGAGUUUUACCUGGUGGUCGAACCUUAGUUCCCUCCGUCGCAAUCGGAGGUGGGUGAGGAUCGGAGGCCAUGGAAUAGCUUGGCUGCGGCGGCUAGGGUUGUGUUAAGGGAAAACCCUAGCAGAGAGUUUUAGAUUGUUUUUUUUUGUUGCCGAUAUUUCUGUUUGUAAAAAAAACUGAUUUAAAGAAUAUAAGCAAAACGACGCCGUUUGGAUGAGGGCAGGAUCCGCGCGUCGACCCGACCAGCUAGCAGGGUCUGCGCAUUCUUGCCCUAAAUGGGAAAUUUCCGCAGUUAGGCCUCCCUUUUUGCGACGCGUUUUAAUUAAACCCGUUGUUCCUCUUUUAAUUUGGCCCCC
rnacentral:lncRNA from 1 species